rnacentral:rRNA from 1 species
GAUUAACGCUGGCGGCAUGCCUAAUACAUGCAAAUCGAACGAAGCCUUUUGGCUUAGUGGUGAACGGGUGAGUAACACGUAUCCAAUCUACCCCUUAAGUUUGGGAUAACUAUUGGAAACGAUAGCUAAGACCGCAUAGGUACGGACACUGCAUGGUGACCGUAUUAAAAGUGCCUCAAAGCACUGGUAGAGGAUGGACUUAUGGCGCAUUAGCUGGUUGGCGGGGUAACGGCCCACCAAGGCGACGAUGCGUAGCCGACCUGAGAGGGUGACCGGCCACACUGGGACUGAGACACGGCCCAG